GUGGGUAGCAGUCAUCGGCAGAGAAAACAUGAUGUAUUUGUCACCUAUGGCUGUCCUGUGCCCUGGAGAUUGGAUUCAAUGAGAUUCAAAUCCCGGUUCUCUGCCCUCAAUGGUGGUUCAGUGCUUGUACCACCCCGUGCCAGGUCCUGGGCAAGUGUUUUCACUCGUCCCUCUUUCUCUUGGUCCUUGUGUUUCCAAGAGCUGCCUUGGGACUGGCUCAUGUCAGUCUGUGCAGGAAGCUCAGCCCGUUUACCACUUUCCACAGGAAAAUCUGCCCCCAAGCACAUCAUGAGUUUAGGACCAUUACUGAUGAUUGGUGAGGGCACAGGAAGCUACUGCACCACAAACCAUUGUCUUCUCCUACCUUGCCGGUCUAUCUGGACCUCCCUGGCCUUCCUCUGCCUUCUCCUUUCUCUGGAAGUUGCUCCUUUUCUUCUAUGAGAGCGUGCCAUCCUUGCAUAUUCAGGUCCCCAUGGGGACUCACUUCCCCCCAACAAAUACAUUUGCCUUCCUAAGGAGAGUUCUGAUGAAUACAAUGUUCUACAUAUACAUAACUGUAUCCAUUUGUGUUUUGCAGAGCAUUGAAAUCAUAUAGCAGCAUCAUCCAGACCUGCAGAAUCAUACGUGAUCAUAGCCAGUUCACACUGAAAAAAGCCUUGUAGGAGAUUCGCCAACCUAAUCAUUCAGCUUACAGGCCUUUGGGAAGCCUGUCCCCACAUCUUCUCUGAGACCUGGAAUCUGGACCUUAUGUUGAGGCUGGGCACCCACAUCUGGGAUGUGAUUCCUUUCUGCCCUCACCCCAUCAUUCUCUCUCUCCAGUUUCCCUGCGAUUUCCUCUUGGCCAUAGCCUGGUGUGCCUGAAACAAAGAAAAGAAAUGCAGAUAAUUGGAUCUUCAUGACAAUUUCCCAACUGGCCACUUUCCCUGUAACAAGACCAAGCCUGUCUCUUCCAUAUGGGUCAGCCAUAUCCCACCCACUCCUCCUGGGAUUUGACUUGGGGAAUGUGGACAGAAUCACACAGUCAGUAGAAGUUGGAAAGUAGGCGGAAGUGGCCACAUGGGGUAGGGACAUAUCAGAGUUAUGAUGAAUCAGAAGCAGAAGCCCCAAGUUGAAGAAGAGAUACAAAGCUUGGAAGCAGGAAGAGAUGGAGCGGACACACAAAGGAAUCCAACACUGGAGAACGGCAACGUAAAGGUGGCGUGCUAGGGGAAAGCUCCAGAAUUCCUGCAGCUGGGCGCUGGAGCCACCCUGAACUUUCAAAGACCUCCCUAUUCCAGUCUCCACAAUCCCAGGUCCUGGUAUGUCCCUGGAUUUGGGGGGAGAUUCUGGCUCCUUUGUAGCACCACAAUAAACCCUUAUUGCCUGAGUUAUCCCAAGUGACUCCCUGUUCUUUAUGGGCUCACAAGCCAACACACC
rnacentral:lncRNA from 1 species